GCUAUAGUUCAGCUGGUUAGAGCGUCAGAUUGUGGUUCUGAAUGUCGUGGGUUCGAAUCCCACUAGC
rnacentral:tRNA from 1 species